rnacentral:tRNA from 1 species
GAGGGUAUAGCUCAAGUGGUAGAGCCCAUGCUUAGCAUGCAUGAGGUCCUGGGUUUAAUCCCAAGCACCUCCA